rnacentral:misc_RNA from 1 species
ACGAGUUUUUGGAUCUAACGAUCCGACUCCCACCCUUUGCGUAUUGACCUGUUGCUUCGGCGGGACGUUCCUUGUGGACCGUCGGCUCUGCGGGCGAGAUCCCGCCGAAGGACCUUAAACUCUUACAUGUCGUCUGAGUCUUUUUAAAAAAUCA